rnacentral:rRNA from 1 species
UGGGGAAUAUUGGACAAUGGGCGAAAGCCUGAUCCAGCCAUGCCGCGUGUGUGAAGAAGGUCUUCGGAUUGUAAAGCACUUUAAGUUGGGAGGAAGGGCAUUAACCUAAUACGUUAGUGUUUUGACGUUACCGACAGAAUAAGCACCGGCUAACUCUGUGCCAGCAGCCGCGGUAAUACAGAGGGUGCAAGCGUUAAUCGGAAUUACUGGGCGUAAAGCGCGCGUAGGUGGUUUGUUAAGUUGGAUGUGAAAUCCCCGGGCUCAACCUGGGAACUGCAUUCAAAACUGACUGACUAGAGUAUGGUAGAGGGUGGUGGAAUUUCCUGUGUAGCGGUGAAAUGCGUAGAUAUAGGAAGGAACACCAGUGGCG